ACCAGAAGUCGGUAGUCUAACCGCAAGGAGGGCGCCGACCACGGUGUGGCCGAUGACUGGGGUG
rnacentral:rRNA from 1 species